UACGUAGGGACCAAGCGUUGUUCGGAUUUACUGGGCGUAAAGGGCGCGUAGGCGGCGUGGUAAGUCACUUGUGAAAUCUCUGAGCUUAACUCAGAACGGCCAAGUGAUACUGCUGUGCUAGAGUGCAGAAGGGGCAAUCGGAAUUCUUGGUGUAGCGGUGAAAUGCGUAGAUAUCAAGAGGAACACCUGAGGUGAAGACGGGUUGCUGGGCUGACACUGACGCUGAAGCGCGAAAGCCAGGGGAGCAAACGGG
rnacentral:rRNA from 1 species